rnacentral:rRNA from 1 species
UACGAAGGGGGCUAGCGUUGCUCGGAAUCACUGGGCGUAAAGGGUGCGUAGGCGGUCGGGUAAGUCUGAUGUGAAAUCUCACAGCUUAACUGUGAAACUGCAUUGGAUACUAUCCGGCUAGAGGAAUGGAGGGGAGACUGGAAUACUUGGUGUAGCAGUGAAAUGCGUAGAUAUCAAGUGGAACACCAGUGGCGAAGGCGAGUCUCUGGACAUUUCCUGACGCUGAGGCACGAAUGCCAGGGGAGCAAACGGG